rnacentral:rRNA from 1 species
CAAGCCUGAUGCAGCCAUGCCGCGUGUAUGAAGAAGGCCUUCGGGUUGUAAAGUACUUUCAGCAGUGAGAAGGUGGGUAUGUUAAUAGCAUACUCAUUUGACGUUAGCUGCAGAAGAAGCACCGGCUAACUCCGUGCCAGCAGCCGCGGUAAUACGGAGGGUGCGAGCGUUAAUCGGAAUUACUGGGCGUAAAGCGCAUGCAGGUGGUUUGUUAAGUCAGAUGUGAAAGCCCGGGGCUCAACCUCGGAAUUGCAUUUGAAAACUGGCAAACUAGAGUACUGUAGAGGGGGUAGGAAUUUCAGGUGUAGCGGUGAAAUGCGUAGAGAUCUGAAGGAAUACCGGUGGCGAAGGCGGCCCCCUGGACAGAUACUGACACUCAGAUGCGAAAGCGUGGGGAGCAAACAGGAUUAGAUACCCUGGUAG